UACGAAGGGGGCUAGCGUUGUUCGGAAUUACUGGGCGUAAAGCGCACGUAGGCGGAUUGUUAAGUUAGGGGUGAAAUCCCAGGGCUCAACCCUGGAACUGCCUUUAAUACUGGCAAUCUCGAGUCCGAGAGAGGUGAGUGGAAUUCCGAGUGUAGAGGUGAAAUUCGUAGAUAUUCGGAGGAACACCAGUGGCGAAGGCGGCUCACUGGCUCGGUACUGACGCUGAGGUGCGAAAGCGUGGGGAGCAAAGCAGG
rnacentral:rRNA from 1 species